AGUGAACAACACUAACAGCUGUAACAACAAGCAAAUGUAAACAACAAAGGCGAGACACUCAAUAUAAAUUAACAAAAAACACUAUUUAUCCACUUUACUUUUCCAAAUCGGGUCUCGGUACCGGACCCAGCGUACCCGCCCUACCUGAGACGAUCACCUGAUCUCGUCUCCCUCAUUUUGGCCACUAGAUUGCCUGCAUCCGCCCGGGUCGGCUGUUAUGCCCCCUCUCCCCAUCGAGUUAAACUUAGCCGGACAUUAAUAUCUUCAAUACGUGUCUCCAUUUAGAUAUUUAUUCUACGCAAGCUGACAUUGUCUUCGGUUCGUCAACAGAGUGCAUUUUAUUUACUUUAACAACAUUAAAUGGAACAGGCGACGAAAAACUGCCAAGUUAUUGCCCGUCGCCGCAAAAAAGAAAAAAAAAACAAGAAGCAAUUAUGAGGCAAUCGUUGCACCGAUUCAGGAACAGAGUACCCACGCAAAUACUUAGAACUGGGUAUGUCACGAUAAUCAGUCGUGCAACAGUUAGGUGAUAUAUAUAUAUAUUAAAUCGCUUAAUUCUACCUUACCCUACCUAAAGAGCUCUCCGGGGGUGGUAAGGGGCGAUAGAAAGGGGUAAUUCAAAUUAGGCGCAUAUGCAUAACCUUUGGAGUUUUCCCUCACUGCUCGCACUUUAAAGUGAAGCUUGGCGACAGUGCCUAUGGAGCACAAUCAGGAGUCCACGUCUGACUCUGCCAAUUGCUCGAACGAAGAGGGGCGAAAUGGAACAGACUCACUCGGAGGAAUGUCUCGCCUGUGGCCAAUUCUUCGCUGUUGCAGCCCGGUCGUUGGUGGCUCGUCUCUCCGUCUUCAGGUUUGCGCCGAGGCUUGGCUGACGGGUGUCGCGGAUAUGGCUGUCGUGCGCCGCUGAUAUGGCUGGCGUGCGCCGCUAAGCCGAAUCCUGGCCUUGGCGGUGACUUCGGGAGCUUCUCUGGUGCGAGAGCUGGUCCCUUCGUUGCCGGAGCUGUGUAUUUUGUUAAUAGUCUUUUGAUUUUUAUUUGUUCGUCUCUUGUCACACUUUAAUUUUAAGUUUCUUCUACUUUUGUAUAAUUGGUGACUCAAAUGGUCGAAUUGACGUUUAUUU